rnacentral:tRNA from 1 species
ACAUGCGUAGUGAAGCACACCGUUACUUCGACCUAUAAUCGAGAGGUCAUGGGUUCGAGUCCCGUUGCGAGCGCCA